rnacentral:lncRNA from 1 species
UGGUGAUGACCUCCAUCCCACUCUCCAUUUCAAUCGAGCAGUAUCUCCUCCCUCAUGCAUGAGUGUGACAGCCUCUUGAAUACCUUAUUUUCAUUCGUGGGUGAGCCCUGCAUCUUCUUUUGCCGAUAAUGCAUCUUUUAAUGAAUUAUUUUUCAUAUAAAAUCAUGAUUAUGAUGAUUAUUCUAUUAAUAUAUGUCUCUUUAGUGGCUGAUCGAUAGUUUUAGGAUUUUAUGGUCAUAAAUCAAUAUUUUUAGGAUUUUUUUCUCUAAUUUUUGUGGUCUCUCUAUCCUCGCAUAUUUUGUGGUCCUAUUUUUGAUAUGCGUGAG